ACGGGUGAGUAACGCGUGAGAAUCUGCCUUCUCGUCUGGGACAACACAAGGAAACUUCUGCUAAUCCCGGAUGAGCCUUAGGGUAAAAGAUAUAUUGCCUGGAGAUGAGCUCUCGUCUGAUUAUCUAUUUGGUGUGAUAAAAGCAUACCAAGGCGACGAUCACUAUCUGGUCUGAGAGGAUGAGCACCCACACUGGGACUGAGACACGGCCCACACUCCUACGGGAGGCACCACUGGGGAAUUUUCCGCACUGGGCGAAAGCCUGACAGAGCACGACCGCGUGGGGGAGAAAAGCUCUAGGGUUGUAAACCCCUUUUCUUUGGGAAAAAAAACUGACGGUACCUAAAGAAUCAGCCUCGGCUAACUCCGUGCCAGCAACCGCGGUAAUACCGAAGAAGCAAGCGUUAUCCGGAAUGAUUGGGCGUUAAGCGUCCGUAGAUGGCCAUGUAAGUCUGCUGUCAAAACCCAGGACUUCACUCUGGUCAAGCGAUGGAAACU
rnacentral:rRNA from 1 species